ACCUGCGGAGGAUCAUUAACGAGUUUUGAAACGAGUUGUAGCUGGCCUUCCGAGGCAUGUGCACGCUCUGCUCAUCCACUCUACCCCUGUGCACUUACUGUAGGUUGGCGUGGGCUCCUUAACGGGAGCAUUCUGCCGGCCUAUGUAUACUACAAACACUUUAAAGUAUCAGAAUGUAAACGCGUCUAACGCAUCUAUAAUACAACUUUUAGCAACGGAUCUCUUGGCUCUCGCAUCGAUGAAGAACGCAGCGAAAUGCGAUAAGUAAUGUGAAUUGCAGAAUUCAGUGAAUCAUCGAAUCUUUGAACGCACCUUGCGCUCCUUGGUAUUCCGAGGAGCAUGCCUGUUUGAGUGUCAUGGAAUUCUCAACUUAUAAAUCCUUGUGAUCUAUAAGCUUGGACUUGGAGGCUUGCUGGCCCUUGCGGUCGGCUCCUCUUGAAUGCAUUAGCUCGAUUCCGUACGGAUCGGCUCUCAGUGUGAUAAUUGUCUACGCUGUGACCGUGAAGUGUUUUGGCGAGCUUCUAACCGUCCAUUAGGACAACUUUUUAACAUCUGACCUCAAAUCAGGUAGGACUACCCGCUGAACUUAAGCAUAUCAAUAAGCGGAGGAAAAGAAACUAACAAGGAUUCCCCUAGUAACUGCGAGUGAAGCGGGAAAAGCUCAAAUUUAAAAUCUGGCGGUCUUUGGCCGUCCGAGUUGUA
rnacentral:rRNA from 1 species